rnacentral:rRNA from 1 species
AUGCCAUGCUUCCGCCUACCAAGGGGAGUGUGUGAUGAUGUGACCUCCCUCAUCCGUCAGUUUUGGUGGGGCAGUAAGAGAGGAAAGAGGAAAGCAACAUGGGUUGCUUGGGAUGUGAUGAUCAGACCUAAGUACGGGGGUAUGGGAUUCAGAGAUUUGGAGUUGUUUAACUUGGCAUUAUUAGCACGGCAGGCAUGGAGAGUUUUGGUUGAUGAUGAUUCACUAAGUGCACAAAUACUCAAGGCGGCCUACUACCCGAAUUGCUCUUUGCUUGAUGCAGAUCGACCUCAUCCGUCUCAGAUUUGGAGGGCCAUAAUUGAUGGGCGGGAUGUGCUUGCUCAAGGAAUAAUUCACAGAAUUGGAGACGGAGAGACCACCAACAUUUGGCACCAUAACAAGAUACCGAGACCCAGUUUUCAGCGGCCGAUUACUUCUCUACUGCCGGUUCCACCACAACAAGUGUCCGAGCUGAUAGACACAACCACAACUUCUUGGCAGGAAGGACUGGUGAGAGCAGUAUUCACUCCUUUCGACGCGGAAGAAAUUCUGAAGAUUCCCCUUUGCACUAGACGUGUAGAGGAUUUUUGGGCUUGGAGCAAGACCCCCUGGGGGACUUUCACAGUAGGCUCGGCUUACCGUAUGCUUGUGACAAUGAAAAUCAGUAGAUAA